UUAUUCUUCCAGGAUGUCCUUGAUGUUUUUCUUGGAAAUAAGUGUUUAAUUGCUUCCUUUUGACCCACCUUUUCUGUCUUUUGCCUUUGUGAUCAACAGAAUAAUUACUGUGUAUCAGUUGUCAGUCCAGUUUGCUAAGUUGUUGUCUUUAUUUUCCUAAGUGACUUAAUAUGUUGCGUAAAAAAAAAUGUAUGCAGUAGUGCUUAGAAGUCAUAGAUGGUGGAAUGCCUUAUGAAAACGGCUUAUGGAAGUAGUUAUAAUUUCCAGUAAGCGCAACUAAAAAUAAUAAAUAAGUGACUUUAGUAAACUUUUAAAAAUGUUCAACAAAUUAUAAAACACUGGCACAUAAAUAGUGGUUAAUUUCGAGAGGCUGUCUUGAUGAAGAGUCAUCAAACUGAUCGAUAAGUGGUCGAUCAGCUUCUAUUAUGAAACGUUUGCAGACA